rnacentral:rRNA from 1 species
UACAGAGACCUCAAGCGUUAUCCGGAAUCAUUGGGCGUAAAGCGUACCGAUAGGUGGUCUAAAAAGUCAGAUGUGAAAUUCCAAGGCUCAACCUUGGGACUGUCAUUUGAAACUUUUAGACUAGAGGGGCAAAGAGGAAGCUGGAACGAACGGUGUAGUAGUGAAAUGCGUUGAUAUCGUUCGGAACACCAAUAGCGAAGGCGGGCUUCUGGGUGCCACCUGACACUGCUAGGACGAAAGCGUGGGGAGCGAAUGGG